ACCGUGCCAAAGGGAGUAAACAGACUUUAACAACACUUUUUUAUUUGUUUUGUGUUAAAUUUGUUCAAAAUAUGUCGACUCGUUUAAGUUUUGACGAUGGUGAUCAAAAUACCAAUCCUAGAAUAAUGACAUUUCGUCCCAGCUAUGAGGAGUUUAAAAACUUUGCCGAUUACAUAGCGUACAUGGAAUCACGUGGGGCCCAUAAGGCCGGCCUCGUUAAAAUUAUUCCUCCCGUUGAGUGGAUUCCGCGCAAAUCGGGCUACGAUAUUGAGAACAUAAAUAUGACAAUCCCAGCACCGAUUAAUCAGGUCGUUACGGGAGCACAUGGAGUUUAUCAGCAAUUCAACAUUCAACAGAGACGUCAAAUGACAUUGCGUCAAUUUCGGGACAAGGCCAAUUCGGAGAUGUUUCAGACGCCGCGCCACAUUGACUACGAAGAUUUGGAGCGCAAGUAUUGGAAGAACAUAACAUAUAUAUCGCCAGAUUAUGCUGCCGAUGUCAAGGGUUCACUAAGUGAUGAAGAUUUGGACGUAUGGAAUAUUGGACGACUGGACACUAUCCUGAAUUUGGUUAAUACCGAUUAUGGUAUCGAAAUCGAUGGCGUUAAUACAGCUUAUUUGUACUUCGGGAUGUGGAAGAGCUCCUUUGCCUGGCACACCGAGGAUAUGGAUUUAUAUUCCAUCAAUUAUUUGCAUUUUGGUGCCCCAAAAACUUGGUAUGCCAUACCGCCAGCCCAUGGCAGACGCUUGGAAAAGUUGGCCAACAGUCUUUUCAAUGAGAACCAUCAGGAAUGCAAUGCCUACUUGCGUCACAAGAUGACUAUGAUCAGUCCUAAGGUCUUGCGUCAGCACAAUAUACCGUACAAUAAGAUUACACAGGAGGCAGGCGAAAUAAUGAUCACGUUUCCUUUCGGCUAUCAUGCUGGAUUCAAUCAUGGCUUCAAUGGUGCCGAGUCCACAAAUUUCGCCUCAAAACGUUGGAUCGAGUAUGGGAAACGUGCCAGUAUUUGUAAAUGCCGUAGUGAUAUGGUUAAAAUAUCCAUGGAGACAUUUGUGCGUCACUUUCAGCCAGAACGCUAUCAAAACUGGCUGCGCGGCGAAGACUACGGCAACCACCCGGAGGAGCCUGGCAAAAUAUGCGCUGCAGCGGCACCCACUAUUAAUGAGUACAAAAUGAUUGAAGAAAGAACGCAGUUAUCGAAAUUGAAGGGCAAUUCUGCUCAAAAGCGUGGCUGCUCUAUGCCCAACGAUAUUGAAGAAGCCAAUGAUGACGAUGACAAAGCAAGCGUGGCCAGCAGCAGUUUGAACACAAAGCAAGUCAUGGUCAAGCUACGCAAAAUGCCAAUGCCAGCUUCAAAUGAAGCUACUAGCGACGAAAAAGCUGCGCCUUCGAGUUCAGCUGCCAUAACCAAAGAGAAAUAUGAUUUCAAUUCAAUUGCAGUUGUGCGUGUGAAGCGGCUAUGGAACGCUUUACCAUGCACGGAGAACGGCACAAAUCUACUCCCAAACGGAGUUGUUAAGAAUACGAAACGUAUGCGCUUUCAGACAAAAGUGCUGACACUGGACGACGAUGAGUAAGUAUGCCAGAAAGUCGGCAUACUCCACAAUCAUAUCGAUCUCCGUUGUUAGUAGCUUUAUAAUUACAGACUCAAUCAAAGAUAUUCUAUAAGUUAGCUAAAUAACAAGGACAAAUGCGGAUUUUGCAAUAUUUUAAUACAUUUAUAAAGAAAUCACAUUCUGGACCUUUUUACAGAUGGGGCUGCAGCUGAUUGUCGAUGUACCUCCCCUAUGAAAUGAUUAUAUACGGCGUACUACACAUUAAGUACGAUGUUUAUUUAACUUGAAACGCAGCUCGUCAAGUUCGCAUAUGCCAGUUUUACAUAUAAACAGUAGGUAUCCCAAACGUUUCGAUAUCACUGUGAAAUGAUUGAAUACAGACAGAGGCUAAGAAAAGCCGGCUUAAACGUACAAUAAUAUUAAUAACUGCUUCAAACUUAUAUAUUUUGUUUUUUUCUUUCGUCGUAUGAACUUAACACUUGUCUUCUCUGUUAUUUUAUGUAUGCAUUGUAAUAUGUAUGUAUAUGAAUAAAAUUAUGAACAAAAAGAUAAAUUUGAUCGAAAUACAAAAAAAGUUACAUGAAAUCUUUUCUGUGCUUGCACAUUUUUCAUGUUUAGGUGUAUAAAUAUUUUUCCUUUCCUCUUAUUUUUUUGUUAUUCCAGGACUCGCGAAGCAAAUUGAAUAUGUUUUGAAUUCGCACAGAUUGCACUAAUGAGUUUUACAUUUG